rnacentral:rRNA from 1 species
UGCCAGCAGCCGCGGUAAUACAGAGAUGGCAACCGUUGUUCGGAAUCACUGGGCUUAAAGGGCACGUAGGCGGAAUAUUAAGUUGAAUGUGAAAGCCCAUGGCUUACCCAUGGAAGGUCAUUCAAAACUGAUAAUCUAGAGUACGGUAGGGGAGAGUGGAACUCCUGGUGGAGCGGUGAAAUGCGUUGAUAUCAGGAGGAACGCCGGAGGCGAAAGCGACUCUCUGGAACGAUACUGACGCUGAGGUGCGAAAGCUAGGGUAGCGAACGGGAUUAGAUA